rnacentral:rRNA from 1 species
UGGGGAAUCAUGGUCAAUGGGCGAAAGCCUGAACCAGCCAUCCCGCGUGCAGGAAGACGGACCUAUGGGUUGUAAACUGCUUUUCCAGGGAGAGAAACUUGCGUACGCGUUGCGCAAUUGACGGUACCCUGGGAAUAAGCAUCGGCUAACUCCGUGCCAGCAGCCGCGGUAAUACGGAGGAUGCGAGCGUUAUCCGGAUUCAUUGGGUUUAAAGGGUGCGUAGGCGGACUAUUAAGUCAGUGGUGAAAUCCUGCAGCUUAACUGCAGAACUGCCAUUGAUACUGAUAGCCUUGAGUUUGGUUAAGGUAGGCGGAAUGGGUAAUGUAGCGGUGAAAUGCUUAGAUAUUACACAGAACACCAAUUGCGUAGGCAGCUUACUGAGCCGACACUGACGCUGAGGCACGAAAGCGUGGGGAUCGAACA